GACGAACGCUGGCGGCGUGCCUAAUACAUGCAAGUAGAACGCUGAAGAGAGGAGCUUGCUCUUCUUGGAUGAGUUGCGAACGGGUGAGUAACGCGUAGGUAACCUACCUUGUAGCGGGGGAUAACUAUUGGAAACGAUAGCUAAUACCGCAUAACAAUGGAUGACACAUGUCAUUUAUUUGAAAGGGGCAAUUGCUCCACUACAAGAUGGACCUGCGUUGUAUUAGCUAGUAGGUGAGGUAACGGCUCACCUAGGCGACGAUACAUAGCCGACCUGAGAGGGUGAUCGGCCACACUGGGACUGAGACACGGCCCAGACUCCUACGGGAGGCAGCAGUAGGGAAUCUUCGGCAAUGGGGGCAACCCUGACCGAGCAACGCCGCGUGAGUGAAGAAGGUUUUCGGAUCGUAAAGCUCUGUUGUAAGUCAAGAACGAGUGUGAGAGUGGAAAGUUCACACUGUGACGGUAGCUUACCAGAAAGGGACGGCUAACUACGU
rnacentral:rRNA from 1 species